rnacentral:rRNA from 1 species
AUACGUAGGGGGCGAGCGUUGUCCGGAAUGAUUGGGCGUAAAGGGCGCGAAGGCGGCGCGGUAAGUCUGGAGUGAAAGUCCUGCUUUCAAGGUGGGAAUUGCUUUGGAUACUGCCGCGCUUGAGUGCUGGAGAGGUUAUCGGAAUUCCCGGUGUAGCGGUGAAAUGAGUAGAGAUCGGGAGGAACACCAGUGGCGAAGGCGGGUAACUUGACUGCAACUGACGCUGAGGCGCGAAAGUGUGGGGAGCAAACAGGAUUAGAUACCCUGGUAGUCCACACUGUAAACGAUGAAUGCUAGGUGUAAGAGGUAUCGACCCCUUUUGUGCCGGAGUCAACACAAUAAGCAUUCCGCCUGGGGAGUACGGCCGCAAGGUUGAAACUCAAAUGAAUUGACGGGG